UUGCUUUCCCAGCACAUACAUUACAAUUGGAACAAUACAGAAAAGAUCAAUGGUCCUUCCUCAAGGAUGACAAUUUCUUUCUUUUUUUUU
rnacentral:snRNA from 1 species